GUGCACCUGCUUGGCCCGUUGCCCCCUUGUUUUUCUAACCUACAGAUAAGUUACGGGAGCUAUCGGUCCGGUAAUCAAUGCCAGGCCGCUUUGGGCGGAAGGCAAAAAUCACCGGUCGGGCACCCACCUGAGAGAGGUGGGUUGUAGAAAAACUGAGGUGACGGCCCGGUGGGUACAAU
rnacentral:other from 1 species